rnacentral:rRNA from 1 species
AAAACUUUCAACAACGGAUCUCUUGGUUCUGGCAUCGAUGAAGAACGCAGCGAAAUGCGAUAAGUAAUGUGAAUUGCAGAAUUCAGUGAAUCAUCGAAUCUUUGAACGCAUCUUGCACCCUCCGGUAUCCCGGUGGGUAUGCCUGUUCGAGCGUCGUU